AAUAGAUACCCCGGUAGUCCACGCCGUAAACGAUGAGUGCUAAGUGUUAGGGGGGUUUUCCGCCCCUUUAGUGCUGCAGCUAACGCAUUAAGCACUCCGCCUGGGGGAGUACGGUCGCAAGACUGAAACUCAAAGGAAUUGACGGGGGGCCCGCACAAGCGGUGGAGCAUGUGGUUUAAUUCGAAGCAACGCGAAGAACCUUACCAGGUCUUGACAUCCUCUGACAACUCUAGAGAUAGAGCGUUCCCCUUCGGGGGACAGAGUGACAGGUGGUGCAUGGUUGUCGUCAGCUCGUGUCGUGAGAUGUUGGGUUAAGUCCCGCAACGAGCGCAACCCUUGAUCUUAGUUGCCAGCAUUUAGUUGGGCACUCUAAGGUGACUGCCGGUGACAAACCGGAGGAAGGUGGGGAUGACGUCAAAUCAUCAUGCCCCUUAUGACCUGGGCUACACACGUGCUACAAUGGAUGGUACAAAGGGCUGCAAGACCGCGAGGUCAAGCCAAUCCCAUAAAACCAUUCUCAGUUCGGA
rnacentral:rRNA from 1 species